AACAAUUAAAAGAUGAGGCCCAAAACAAUUAAAUUGGAAGCCCAAUCUAAAUAAAUGGAAAGCCCAAAUCUUAAAAACAAUUACAGCCCAAAUAAAUAAAUUUUGAAAGCCCAGCUCUCUCUCUUUCUCUCACAAGUAUCGGACUCUCUCUCUCUUCUCAAGCCAAGGACCGACACUCUCUCUCUCUCCCUCAAGCCAGCCGCACGCCUCUUCUCCCUCUCACUCUCGACUCGCCUUCACACGAGGCGUCCGCCGCCGCGACUCCGGCCGGCGUCGACUGCCUCCGCGCCUAAGCCCGGCGUUCUCCUCCCUCUCCCUCUUAAAGCAAUUCACGCCUUUUUCUCUCUAUUCUUUCUCAAGGUCAGCCGCUUGGUCGGCCCUCCCAAAAUUCCAGUCGGUUCCAUCUUUUCCGGCCGUCCAGCCAUCACUGCUCCGGUCAGCUUCGAUCGGCGACGUGUCCAAACCCGGCGUCGUCAUCUCUCUCUCUCCUCAGGCAGACCCAGUCGAGCCCUAACUCAAGAAAUCAUCGCCGCUGUCGCUGCUACUCCUUCGCCCGGAAUCCAGCAAGCGGUCGCCGUCUGGGAGCGGUUCGAUCUCAUUUCCCUUCUCUAUAUUUCCCCCUCCGACCUCUAGCCUUGGUUUCCAGAAAAGAGGAAUUUGUUACUGUCGAGCGGCCGCUGCUCCGGCCCUGGUACCGGUCGGUUUCGCCCCCCCUCCAGUUCGGUAUCGCCGUGGCUGCCGUCCUCGGGUCUUGAUGAGAUUGGGCGAGUUCGCCCCUGUCGUAGCUGUCUCAAACCGAUCGAGGCAGUCAGCCAUCCCCUCUCUUAAAAGCUAAGUAACUCCCUCAAUUCGACUCAAUCGAUUCGUAAAUGUGAACUGGACAAGGCAAGGUGAAAUCUUCUUGUUUUGCUUACAUCUCAAUUUGUGCUCGAUUAAAACUACAUAAGACUGUCACUUGCUCAAUCGCAUAGUUGGGUGUUUACUAAGUUCAAGAUGUCUAUAAGGUCUUCUAUAAUUAAAACUGAAACUGAUCGUGCUCAUGCUUUAAUAUGAAUGCUUACUGGAAUGGUAUUUGAAAUAGAAUCAAUACCUUGAAAUGUGUUGUUGGUUAAAUAUUGUUGUUUGUUGAACUGGAGUAACUGAACUUAAGGUUCCUGGCAAAGAGGAAAUGAAUGAUUCUUGUGUUAAUGCAGGUGCUAAUCAAAUGGAAUGAAAUCAUUGAAGCCCAGCCUUACCUUGUGAGCUUCGGCUGAAUGAGCUGGGCUAUUCUUUGAUUCUCUUUUGGAUGAGAUGAGUUGAGAGUGAAAACUGUAUUUGUUGGCUGAUUGCAUUUGUUGGGUGGGGAGCAAAGGGUGGUGGCUGAUAGUAUAAAGGGAAUGAAUAAUUGAGUGGAGUUGGUGGAGUGGAGUUGGUGAUUGAAGAGCUUUUGCUUUUGCUAAUUGAUUUGGUUGUCUUCUUGAUUGAUUAUGCUAUGUAUGAAAGAGGCUUAUGAUGUUACUCAUGUGGUCAACGUAUAUACAUGCUUCAUGCUUGAGGUCUAAAUUAUGCUAUGGUAUGUUGAUAGUGUAGGAGACAUUAGGGAG
rnacentral:lncRNA from 1 species